GGGCUCUUCAACAAGCAACUUGGAAAUGAGCGAUGGUUGAAGCUCUUCAACAAAUCUCUCCUCAGCCAAAUACAGCUGGUACCCUAAUGGAGGUGACAGCACAGGCUUCUGAUAGUUCACACAUCAUUCACCAAUUAGAAUAGAAGCGCAUUUACAGUCUGUAAACAAGGACUCAUCAUGGGAAACUGUUUUUAAAGUCAGAAGAUCUUGAUUCAAGUCCAACUCUGCCCGUUACCAUGUGACCUUGAGUGAAUCUUGUAAUCUCUCUUUUAAAAAUACAGACAGCAACACUUGCCCCCUCCAUUUAUACCAUUAUAAGCAUCUGAUGGGAUCACACAUUUGAAAAUAUAUCAAAACAU
rnacentral:lncRNA from 1 species